AUCCCAUGAUGAGGACACUUAUGCAGUAACUCCUUGAAUCGCUCCCAAGCCUCAUACAAAGACUCGUCAUCCAAUUGUUGGAAGGUUGUGAUCUCAUUCCUCAACUU
rnacentral:snoRNA from 1 species